GUAUCCAAAAGGAAGUAGGGACCACUAGAACAGAGGUUUUCUCAGCCUUCCUACUGCUGAGAGCACAGUUCGUCAUGUUGUGGUGAGCCUCAACCGUAAACAUAUUUGUUGCUACUUCUUAACUGUAAUUUUGCUACUGUUAUGAAUCAUAAUGUAAAUAACCGAUAUGUAGAAUAUCUCAUAUGCAGCCCCCAAGGGGUCAAAAGCCACAGGUUGAGAACCAGCUAGAAUAAGGAGUUCUCAGGUGAUCCUGAAAGCAUUUUUCCAAACUCCAGCAGGUCCAUCUUGCGUGCGCUCGACUGGCCAGGAAGAACGACGUUGCAACAGGAUCCUUCUGCACACGUUUAUUGGGAGAACUUGAUUGUAGAGGCAAAGUGACCCCAAGCCCAGAACUGGUGCUGCUUUUAUAGGCCUAGGAGAGGCGUGUCUCACAUCUGAUUGGUUAACUUGUCUUGGCAAAAGAACCUUCACUGCCUAUGUAUGUGUGGUGGCCAGCAGUAGCCAACUGCCACUCUGCAACUGUCACUCUGCAACGGCUUCCCACAGGUCCAGACCUCUGGAGGCAGAGAAGAAGACAGACAGAGGCUUUACGGAUAAGUCUCUCAGAUAAAAAUAACAGGCAAGGAGCAUUCUCUAAGAAAAAUGCAGGUCUUAUGAAAGAAACAGCUAAUUCUGAUCUCCUCCAAUUUACAGACACAGUGGAGGUUCAGUCAAGAGCAUACAGAAAUGAGGUACCUGAGAAGUGA
ensembl:lncRNA